UCAGAACGAACGCUGGCGGCGUGGUUUAGGCAUGCAAGUCGAGCGAGAAAGUUUCCUUCGGGAAGCGAGUACAGCGGCGAACUGGUGAGUAACAGACGAGUAACGUGCCCGAAUGUGGGGGAUAACCUUGGGAAACCAGGGCUAAUACCGCAUGUCGUCUUUCCCCCGCGGGAGAAAGGAAAAAGGCACUUGUGUCGCAUGAGGAUCAGCCCGCUCCCGAUUAGCUUGUUGGUGGGGUAAUGGCCUACCAAGGCAACGAUCGGUAGGUGGCCUGAGAGGGUGGUCACCCACACUGGGAUUGAGAUACGGCCCAGACUCCUACGGGGGGCAGCAGUCUAGAGGCAUCCACAAUAGGGGAAACCCUGAUGGUGCGACGCCGCGUGUGGGAUGAAGGCCCUUGGGUUGUAAACCACUGUCAGGAGGGAAUAAGGCCCCGGUGGAGGACCUCCGGGGUUUGAAGGUACCUCCAGAGGAAGCACCGGCUAACUCCGUGCCAGCAGCCGCGGUAAUACGGAGGGUGCAAGCGUUGUUCGGAUUUAUUGGGCGUAAAGGGUGCGUAGGCGGGUUGGCAAGUCUCUUGGUUAAAUUUUCACCGCUCAACGGGAAAAACGCCGGAGAUACUGCCAGUCUUGAGAGCGGUAGGGGUGAGUGGAAUUCCUGGUGUAACGGUGGAAUGUUUAGAUAUCAGGAAGAACACCAGUGGCGAAGGCGACUCACUGGACCGCAUCUGACGCUGAGGCACGAAAGCUAGGGGAGCGAACAGGAUUAGAUACCCUGGUAGUCCUAGCCGUAAACGGUGAGCACUAGGUGUGGGGGGUUAUCGACCCCUUCCGUGCCGUAGCAAACGCAUUAAGUGCUCCGCCUGGGAAGUACGACCGCAAGGUUGAAACUCAAAGGAAUUGACGGGGGCCCGCACAAGCGGUGGAGCAUGUGGUUUAAUUCGAUGCAACGCGAAGAACCUUACCCGGGCUCAAACGCGAGGGAAAAGCCGCCGAAAGGCGGUGUGCCUUCGGGCGUCCUUGCGAGGUGCUGCAUGGCUGUCGUCAGCUCGUGUCGUGAGAUGUUGGGUUAAGUCCCGCAACGAGCGCAACCCUUGCUUCUAGUUACCAGCGGGUAAUGCCGGGGGCUCUAGAAGGACUGCCCACGCAAGUGGGAGGAAGGUGGGGAUGACGUCAAGUCCUCAUGGCCCUUACGUCCGGGGCUACACACGUGCUACAAUGGCCGGUACAGAGAGUUGCGAGGCCGCGAGGUGGAGCUAAUCUCAAAAAGCCGGCCCCAGUUCGGAUUGGAGUCUGCAAUUCGACUCCAUGAAGGCGGAGUCGCUAGUAAUCCCGUAUCAGCCACGACGGGGUGAAUGCGUUCCCGGGCAUUGUACACACCGCCCGUCACACCACGAAAGUCGGCUUCUCCUGAAGUCGGUGUACCAACCCCUCGGGGAGGAAGCUGCCGAUGGAGAGG
rnacentral:rRNA from 1 species